UGCCAGCAGCCGCGGUAAUACGGAGGGUGCAAGCGUUGUCCGGAUUUACUGGGUGUAAAGGGUGCGUAGGCGGCGCGGUUAGUCGGAUGUGAAAUCGUACAGCUCAACUGUACAACUGCGUCCGAUACUGCCGUGCUUGAGGAAGGCAGAGGUGAGCGGAACUCAGGGUGGAGCGGUGAAAUGCGUUGAUAUCCUGGGGAACACCGGUGGCGAAGGCGGCUCACUGGGCCUUUUCUGACGCUGAGGCACGAAAGCUAGGGUAGCGAACAGGAUUAGAUA
rnacentral:rRNA from 1 species